CUCUGAGGGAUUUCAUUGGGUUACGGUUGCCAGGGAAACCAUUUGACUUGGUAAUCAAUAUGUUCAGUAUGUCUCUGUUGCUGUGUGCUUAAUUCCUACUGAUACCAUUGCAGAGUGGAUCCAUGGAAAACACUGGGUAGGAAAAAAAGAAAACCUUGAAAUAUUAGCUUCAAUGAAGGAAAAUCUGGAUAACUUAUUCUUAUGAAUCUGAAACAAUUUAAGAAAACAAAUGACUGCUUGAUUUUUGUGCCAAUUGAAUAGAAUGGGAUUCAAUUUUUAAUAGCAAGUUGGCAUGGCUAAGUAAGGUCCCUGGGAUUCUCUUGCAAUGCCGUGAAAGCAAAAGGACAGCUCUCCUAACAAGAAGCCAAGAUUGCUACAGGAGGCUGAGGAGAGGAAAAAGCCCUUUUCUCAUCACCAUUGAUUCCUUCAGUCUCCAUGAUUUCCUCUCAAGAACUGCCAUUUGUUGCUGUAGAUGGCCCAGUUGCAGACGUGCCUGAGUUCAGCAUAGUGUUGAGGAGAAUCCCAGAGAUCUGAAUCCCAGGAGAAGUCAGCCCAUCCUGCUGUUCGUGGGAAUCUAUAAAGGAGGUGCACAAAGCUCCAGUUGCCCCUGAUUUGAGAGAUGUCUCCAGAGCAGCACUUGUUCCUGGAAAAGUUUGAGAGCCUGUGUCCAAGACGCUCUCCAACUUACUCACUUGGAAGGACUCCAGCUCUCCAUUUAUUCUUUACUGGCCCUGAGCAGUAGAGUAGGCUAAACAAAAACCCACACUUAAGCUGAAGAUGCUCAACUUAAACACAUGACCACUACUUUCAAUGGCUUUCCAUCAUGCUGAGAAG
rnacentral:lncRNA from 10 species